CCUACGGGAGGCAGCAGUGAGGAAUAUUGGUCAAUGGGCGCGAGCCUGAACCAGCCAAGUCGCGUGAGGGAAGACGGCCCUACGGGUUGUAAACCUCUUUUGCCGGGGAGCAACGGGCGCCACGUGUGGCGCCACUGAGAGUACCCGGAGAAAAAGCAUCGGCUAACUCCGGGCCAGCAGCCGCGGUAAUAGGGAGGAUGCGAGCGUUAUCGGGAUUUAUGGGGUUAAAGGGGUGCGUAGGCGGAGCGUUAGGUAAGUGGGAAAAUUGAGGGCCUAAACCCCUUCCCGCCAUUGAAACUGGCGCUCUUGAGUGGAAGAGAAGUAUGCGGAAUGCGGGGUGUAGCGGUGAAAGGCAUAGAUAUCACGCAGAACCCCGAUUGCGAAGGCAGCAUGCCGGCUUCCUACUGACGCUGAAGCACGAAAGCGUGGGGAUCGAACAGGAUUAGAUACCCGGGUAGUC
rnacentral:rRNA from 1 species